rnacentral:rRNA from 1 species
UACGUAGGGCGCAAGCGUUGUCCGGAAUCAUUGGGCGUAAAGCGCGCGUAGGCGGCCCGAUAAGUCCGCUGUGAAAGUCAACGGCUCAACUGUUGAAUGCCGGUGGAUACUGUCGGGCUAGAGUCCGGAAGAGGCAAGUGGAAUUCCUGGUGUAGCGGUGGAAUGCGCAGAUAUCAGGAGGAACACCUAUAGCGAAGGCAGCUUGCUGGGACGGUACUGACGCUAAGGCGCGAAAGCGUGGGGAGCGAACAGG